CUCACAAUGCUUUAUUUUACAUUAUCUUGAAAGGCUUUUUACUCACAAUUCUCACAAUUUUACAAAGCCUGCUGCAGCCGUUACAUCUCUCAAGGUCAAAGCCACCUCUCAAAAUCUCCAUCCAUGCCUUCAGUCGUUACAUCUCUCAAAAUCUCCAUCCAUGGCUUCAGCCGUUACAUCUCUCAAAGUCUCAAUUUCUCUCACAAUAUGACUUUCCAGUCUCAAUCUUUCCACAAAUCUCAAACAAUUCGUUGGUCUCUCUCGCUUCUUCUCAAACAAUCGGCGCCGAAUCUUCCCUCAAAUCUCAAACAAUCGGCUGUGUAAUUGGGAGAUUCAGUUUCUCUCUUUCAAUUUCCAUCUCACGAAUCAGUUUGUGAUGAACCAGUUUUCGGAGGAACCUCACUGCUAUGUCCGCGUCAUCUCCCGUAAGAGUAAAGAGGGAAGUUUUGUUACCAAAGGCCUUGAAAAGGUCGAACAGGAACUACUUGCAGCAGAGAAUGACGGUGUUGUAUCCUCAGGCUUUCGGAAGGAACUUGCAAAUCAGCAAUCAUGAUCAAACAAUUCACAAUGAUGGUUUUGAUCACCUGACUAACCUUGCAUAUUAUUAUUUAGAUGUCUUAUGUGUUUUAAACCCAAUGUAUAAAGUUGUGGAAUUGUUGAACUGGCUUUAACAGGUCUUAACAAGUUUCCUCCAUACUGCUGAGGCGGAAGUUAGGUCACUUAUCAACCUUUACACUGAAGUGGUGAGCUUUAAUUGUUAAUUUGAAUGCUUCUUAGACAAAUUUCUUUUGAUUUUCACCUUGUGAUCCAAGAUGAGAUCACUUAUUACGGCCUGCUCUAAAGUGGUGAGCAUAAGUGUUAUUUAUGAUGCGGCUUUGACCAAUUCCGUUGUUUGAUUUUAUUUUGUUCUUACUGGUCAAAAGCUGUGGAUAACUUUGAUAGCAAUGUGAUUCACAGGAUUUAGUAAGAGCAGUUGGUGCUUUUAUGUUGGGAGAUGUAUAGAAUUUUCUGGUUGAGCACUUAAGCUACUUAUUUUCUGGUAUUUCGCUGCUAAUUGAACUCUGCAAUUGUUGGUUGUGAUUUCAUGAGAACAUGCUUGAAGCUGCAGCUUGUACCAUAAGCAUUGAACUCAUGUCAUAAGCAUUAUUAUAAAUUCACUCAUGUCAUAAGAAUUCUUAUUGUAUGUUGUCUCUUUUUAAUUUUUCAUGUGAUAAACUAUGUAUGAUAAUUAGUGUGAUAAACUAAUUCAUUUUUAUCUUAUGUUGUCUUAGGCUUUUUAGUAGUGUCUUAGGCCUCUUAGUAUUGUGUGAUAAACUGAUGAUUGAAAUGAUUGACAAACUUAUUUAGUUUUCCACAAAAAUGUUAUGACUCCACACACUACUAAAUAUUUUAACUACAUAUAUAUAUGUUUGGUAUACUGUAACAGAUGUAUAAUGGGGAAUAUGCAAUUUUUGCUUUAUGCUUCUACAUAGCUUGCAUUUUGUAAUAGUCAAUUAGCACAUCAUUUCUUGAAACAAUCAAAGUAUUUAAUGUGAAUGAGACCCUUGUGAUCAUAUUGCCCUUCUCUUUGGACAACUGUGAGCCUGCAAAACCAUGGCAGAUGCUUCACCUCUAUGCAGUCCUCUAUACUACUGCCUUUGGGGCCACGGGGAUUAGGCCAUGCAUCUCUUCCUUUGGAGCAUAUCAAUUUGAUGAAAGAAGCAAGGACUACAAGGAGCAUCUCAAAAGAUUCUUAAACUCCUUCUACCUCUGAGUCACGGUUGGAACAAUCCUGGCAUUCACAGCAAAUAGUGUACAAUUAGAUAAAACACGGUUGGGGACCUGGGGUAGCCCAUUUGGUUCGUUAGCCAUAGCUAUGGGCAUGUCCAACCUGGUUUUCUUUCUCGGAACUCAUCUUUAGAGGCACAAGUUACCUGGUGGAAGCCCACUCCUGUUUCCGCCUUUAGGAAGAGAAAAGCUUUGUUUAGAGCAGCAAGACAGACGACUUGUACGAGCUUCCGAGCAAAAGAUCAGCCAUCAAGGGGAGCAGCAAGAUCGCACUUACUGAUGAUUUCAGAUAUUUGGACUCUGAAGUUGAAAGAAGAUGGCGUUGAUCCAAGCCCCUGGAGGCUCUUCAGGGUCACACAAGUUGAGAUAAAAAUCCUUCUGAAACUGGUCCCAAAUCCAGCUUGCACCAUUAUGCUCAAUCUUAUAUCAAAAAUAAAACCAAAGUAAAAUCUUGGCACUCAUGGCACUAAUAGUGCCAUAAGUGCCUAACUCGACCCGGCACGCGACCCGCGUGCCUGAUCCUACCCGAUCCGCCUCAUUAAGGGUAAAACAUCCAAAUCAAUAAAAAUGGCCAAAAUUUGUGUUUUUUCAA